AGUGUUCCUUCAGUCUCUGUUAAUUGCUUCUAGGCGGAAGCUGAGCGAACAAUGAUCGUCGGCUCGUCGGCUCGUCGGCUCGUCGGCCAUCGCCCACCCUCUCUCUCGCUUGCGCACGGAAGCAAUAGGAUAAGAAGAGGAAAGAGGAAUGCUACAACUUUCUGACGUUCAAAGCCUGAUAUUUCCUUCCCGUAGUGUAGAGUUUUGACACGAAGCUCUCUUCCCCCUUCGACGCGAGUCACUGAGUUUCAAUACCUCCCGCUGAUCCAUAACAGAGAUCUAAAUAUCAACUCACGGUGGCUUUAUGAAUCCAACUUUUCUGAUGCGAAGAAGAUGGGCGUUGUCACCUCGUCGAUUGCCGCGAAAUUUGCCUUCUUCCCUCCUAACCCGCCGUCUUACCAUGUGAUCGGCGACGAAGCUUGCGGCGGCAGAUUGUUCAUUCUGGACGCCCCCAGGCGAGAUGACGUUGAUGUCUUGCAGCUCCGAACCAGACGAGGCAACGAAAUCGUGGCCAUCUAUGUCAAGCAUCCCAAGGCUACUAUGACUCUCCUGUAUUCUCAUGGUAACGCGGCUGAUUUGGGCCAGAUGUUUGAGCUCUUCGUCGAGCUUAGCCUUCGUCUCCGCAUCAAUCUCAUGGGAUAUGACUACUCUGGCUAUGGACAAUCAAGUGGCAAGCCCACUGAAUCUAAUACAUAUGCAGACAUAGAGGCAGCCCAUAAAUGCCUUAAGGAGCAGUAUGGGGUAAAAGAUGAAGAUUUAAUAUUAUAUGGCCAGUCAGUUGGAAGUGGCCCAACUCUUGAUCUUGCUUCACGUUUACCGAACUUGAGAGCUGUUGUUCUUCAUAGUCCUAUUCUCUCUGGUUUGCGAGUUUUGUACCCUGUAAAGCGGACAUACUGGUUUGACAUUUACAAGAAUAUUGACAAAGUUGGCAUGGUGAACUGUCCAGUUCUAGUAAUUCAUGGUACAGCAGAUGAAGUUGUUGAUUUCUCCCAUGGAAAGCAGCUUUGGGAGCUUUGCAAGGAAAAAUAUGAACCUCUUUGGCUUAAUGGUGGUGGCCAUUGCAAUCUUGAACUUUAUCCCGAGUACAUUAAACACCUGAAGAAAUUUGUGUUGACUAUUGGUAAAAGGACAACAACAAAUGGUCCUAAAAAAACAAGGACCGACUCAGGAGAUCAGAGUAAACCAGUUGAAAGUGGAACUUCAGAUGGAUUUGAAGUAGGUUGUGACCAUUCUGAAAUCUCUAGAAACAGCUUAGAUAGUCAACUUGUGAAUUGUAAGAAGUCAAAAAAGCAAGAAAAAUCACGGAUGAGUGCUGACCGUGUUGACAGGUGUAGAAGAAAGAGCUUGAUAUGGUGAUUGGCUACUAUGUGCAUCUCAAAUAAAUUAUGAGCCUCAGCUCCAUGAAAAGCUAACGGGCUCUUGCAUUAAUCAGUAAGGGGCUUCUGCUGCUGGCAAGAAAAAUUACUAAAAGCAUGAGAUCCCCUAUUAAAUGGUUCUUUGCUGGCCAUAAAGCCGCAGUCUGGUUGAGAGAAGCUUUGGAAAGAAAUUGCUGUCACAUGGGAGGGCUAUUGUUCUCAAUUCUUCUACUUUCAAAGUGAUCUUUAGUGACUGGUUGGUUGAUCAUGUGAAGGAGGAUCCUCUUAUGAUCCAUUCUUUAUCUUACCUUAAACUUUGAAUCAGAUAAUUUUGUGUAGAGGCAGAAGCUUGACUGAAAUCUUGGAACAACUUUGGUUCCAUUUGUGUGAAUUAUCUGUUUGAAGAAGAUUUUCUGCUACUAGCUGCAUAUUGUUUCAAUUCCAUGUGUGCAUAGUUCCGCAAUGCUGUGACCAGACUUGGUGAACAUACAGUUGCUAAGAUUCCAAGUCUCUACAGACUA